GGGGAUGUAGCUCAGCUGGGAGAGCGCCGCGUUCGCAAUGCGGAGGCCAGGGGUUCGAGCCCCCUCAUCUCCACCA
rnacentral:tRNA from 1 species